UGUGCCAUUAUAAAUGAUAAUCGUUGUAUUAGCUAUAUAUAUUAGUAGGAAACAUAGCAAGGUUUAAUACUACUAGUGUAUUAAUGUUUCCCAACAUGAAGACUUCUUCCAAAGCAACGAUAGUCUUCUUGGUUCUCCUCCUCGUUUUCUCGUUUGAGAUGAAAUCAGGGGAAUGUCAAUUAUGUUCAUUUGGAACGGUGGAAAUGACAAGAUGCUCAAUUCCUCAAUGUGCUUCGGACUGCCGGCGCAAAGUGUCACAUUCAACUGGGAAAUGCAUUGCUAUCGACACUUGUUGUUGUGCUUCAAGAGCUCACAAGCAUUAAUACUCAAUUCUAUGGACUUAGGAAUGUGCUAAUAUAUCAUAUGCUUUGAGUUAAACUCUUCGAAUAAUAAACAUAGUUUAGAUUUCUCCCUUAAGAGAAGGAUCGUUUAAACUUUUAUUGUAUCUUUCGGAUGUAUUUUACGCUUGAUUUAUGAGCAAUUAAACAAACUUAUUGUCCAUUUUCUAGU